rnacentral:rRNA from 1 species
AAAUUGAAGAGUUUGAUCAUGGCUCAGAUUGAACGCUGGCGGCAGGCCUAACACAUGCAAGUCGAACGGUAACAGGAAUCAGCUUGCUGAUUUGCUGACGAGUGGCGGACGGGUGAGUAAUGUCUGGGAAACUGCCUGAUGGAGGGGGAUAACUACUGGAAACGGUAGCUAAUACCGCAUAACGUCGCAAGACCAAAGAGGGGGACCUUCGGGCCUCUUGCCAUCGGAUGUGCCCAGAUGGGAUUAGCUAGUAGGUGGGGUAACGGCUCACCUAGGCGACGAUCCCUAGCUGGUCUGAGAGGAUGACCAGCCACACUGGAACUGAGACACGGUCCAGACUCCUACGGGAGGCAGCAGUGGGGAAUAUUGCACAAUGGGCGCAAGCCUGAUGCAGCCAUGCC